rnacentral:rRNA from 1 species
UACGGAGGGGGCUAGCGUUGUUCGGAAUUACUGGGCGUAAAGCGCACGUAGGCGGCUUUGUAAGUUAGAGGUGAAAGCCCAGGGCUUAACCCUGGAAUUGCACCUAAAACUACAUGGCUAGAGUACUGGAGAGGGUAACGGAAUUCACGGUGUAGCAGUGAAAUGCGUAGAUAUCGUGAGGAACACCAGAGGCGAAGGCGGUUACCUGGACAGUUACUGACGCUCAGGCACGAAAGCGUGGGGAGCAAAAGGG